rnacentral:rRNA from 1 species
GAUAUUUUUAAACGGCCGCGGGAUCUUCCACCGUGCAAAGGUAGCAUAAUCACUUGUCCCCUAAAUAGUGACUAGUAUGAAUGGCCAAAUGAAGAUUUAACUGUCUCUUAUAUUUAAUCCUUGAAAUUAAUCUACCAGUACAAAAGCUGGAAUAAAAACAUAAGACGAAAAGACCCUAUGGAACUUUAAGUAUUAUUUUAAUAAACAUAAAAUAUGAACUUUUAGUUGGGGCAACUCUGGAAAUAAAAAAAACUUCCAAAUAACCUACGAUCGACAUAUCUUUUAAAACACGACCCAGUACUACUGAAUAAAGAACCAAGCUACCCUAGGGAUAACAGCGCCAUCCCCUCCAAGAGCCCAAAUCGACGAGUGGGGUUUACGACCUCGAUGUUGGAUCAGGACACCCAAACAGUGCAGCAGCUGUUAAAGGUUUGUUUGUUCAACAAUUAAAGUCCU